GUGAGGAAUAUUGGUCAAUGGGCGAGAGCCUGAACCAGCCAAGUCGCGUGAAGGAUGAAAGUUUUAUGAAUUGUAAACUUCUUUUGCAGGGGAAUAAAGUACGGUACGUGUACCGUUUUGUAUGUACUCUGCGAAUAAGGAUCGGCUAACUCCGUGUCAGCAGCCGCGGUAAUAAGGAGGAUCCAAGCGUUAUCCGGAUUUAUUGGGUUUAAAGGGUGCGCAGGCGGGUUGAUAAGUCAGCGGUGAAAGUUUGCAGCUUAACUGUAAAAUUGCCGUUGAAACUGUCGAUCUUGAGUGCAAAUGAGGUAAGCGGAAUGUGUUGUGUAGCGGUGAAAUGCUUAGAUAUAACACAGAACACCGAUUGCGAGGGCAGCUUACUGGGAUGCAACUGACGCUCAUGCACGAAAGCGUGGGGAUCAAACAGGAUUAGAAACCCGUGUAGUCC
rnacentral:rRNA from 1 species